UGGGGAAUAUUGCACAAUGGGCGCAAGCCUGAUGCAGCCAUGCCGCGUGUGUGAAGAAGGCCUUCGGGUUGUAAAGCACUUUCAGCGGGGAGGAAGGCGUUAAGGUUAAUAACCUUGGCGAUUGACGUUACCCGCAGAAGAAGCACCGGCUAACUCCGUGCCAGCAGCCGCGGUAAUACGGAGGGUGCAAGCGUUAAUCGGAAUUACUGGGCGUAAAGCGCACGCAGGCGGUCUGUCAAGUCGGAUGUGAAAUCCCCGGGCUCAACCUGGGAACUGCAUUCGAAACUGGCAGGCUAGAGUCUUGUAGGGGGGGGUAGAAUUCCAGGUGUAGCGGUGAAAUGCGUAGAGAGCUGGAGGAAUACCGGUGGCGAGGGCGGCCCCCUGGACAAAGACUGACGCUCAGGUGCGAAAGCGUGGGGAGCAAACAGG
rnacentral:rRNA from 1 species